UAGCAUAUGCUUGUCUCAAAGAUUAAGCCAUGCAUGUCCAAGUAUAAACACGUUUAUACAGCGAAACUGCGUACAGCUCAUUAAAUCAGUUAUAAUUUAUUUGAUGGUUUCCUUCUUUGUGGCUUUUGCUGCAAAAAAGACUAUAUGGAUACCCGUAGUAAUUCUAGAGCUAAUACAUGCGUCGAGUUCUGAAGGGUCCCCUCGGGGUCCUGGAGGAAUGUAUUUAUUAGAUACCAACCAAAGAAGACUUUUUUUUGGUGAAUCAUAGUAACUGUG
rnacentral:rRNA from 1 species